UGAGUGAAGAAGGCCUUCGGGUUGUAAAGCUCUUUUGUCAGGGAAGAAACGGCUCCGGCUAAUAUCUGGGGCUAAUGACGGUACCUGAAGAAUAAGCACCGGCUAACUACGUGCCAGCAGCCGCGGUAAUACGUAGGGUGCGAGCGUUAAUCGGAAUUACUGGGCGUAAAGCGUGCGCAGGCGGUUUGGCAAGUCAGAUGUGAAAUCCCCGAGCUCAACUUGGGAACUGCGUUUGAAACUGCCAGACUAGAAUAUGUCAGAGGGGGGUAGAAUUCCACGUGUAGCAGUGAAAUGCGUAGAGAUGUGGAGGAACACCGAUGGCGAAGGCAGCCCCCUGGGUCAAGAUUGACGCUCAUGCACGAAAGCGUGGGGAGCAAACAGGAUUAGAUACCCUGGUAGUCCACGCCCUAAACGA
rnacentral:rRNA from 1 species